rnacentral:rRNA from 1 species
AGACCGAUAGCGAACAAGUAGAGUGAUCGAAAGAUGAAAAGCACCUUGAAAAGAGGGUUAAAUAGUACGUGAAAUUGUUGAAAGGGAAGCGCUUGUGACCAGACUUGGGCGCGGCGGAUCAUCCGGGGUUCUCUCCGGUGCACUUCGCCGUGUCCAGGCCAGCAUCAGUUCGUCGCGGGGGAAAAAGGCUUCGGGAACGUGGCUCCUCCGGGAGUGUUAUAGCCCGUUGCAUAAUACCCUGCGGUGGACUGAGGACCGCGCAUCUGCAAGGAUGCUGGCGUAAUGGUCACCAGCGACCCGUCUUGAAACACGGACCAAG